CCUACGGGUGGCAGCAGUGGGGAAUAUUGCACAAUGGGGGAAACUCUGAUGCAGCAACGCCGCGUGAGUGAGGAAGUAUUUCGGUAUGUAAAGCUCUAUCAGCAGGGAAUAGAAAAUAAGGUCCUUUAAAAAGAAGCCACGGCUAACUAAGUACCAGUAGCCGCGGUCAUUCGCAGGGGGCAAGGGUAAUCCGGAUUUACUGGGUGUAAAGGGAGCGUAGAGGGAAAGGCAAGUCAGAAGUGAAAACCAAAGGCUCAACCAUGGGACUGCUUUUGAAACUGUCGAACUAGAGUGCAGGAGAGGUAAGCGGAAUGCCUAGUGUAGCGGUGAAAUGCGUAGAGAUUAGGAGGAACACCAGUGGCGAAGGCGUCUUACUGGACCGUAACUGACGUUGAGGCUCGAAAGCGUGGGGAGCAAACAGGAUUAGAUACCCUUGUAGUC
rnacentral:rRNA from 1 species